rnacentral:rRNA from 1 species
CCCUAAGGCGAGGCCGAAAGGCGUAGUCGAUGGGAAACGGGUUAAUAUUCCCGUACUUGGUGUUACUGCGAAGGGGGGACGGAGAAGGCUAUGUUGGCCGGGCGACGGUUGUCCCGGUUUAAGCGUGUAGGUGUGUGUUCCAGGUAAAUCCGGUUCACUUUAACACUGAGGCGUGACGACGAGGCACUACGGUGCUGAAGCAACAAAUGCCCUGCUUCCAGGAAAAGCCUCUAAGCAUCAGGUAACAUCAAAUCGUACCCCAAACCGACACAGGUGGUCAGGUAGAGAAUACCAAGGCGCUUGAGAGAACUCGGGUGAAGGAACUAGGCAAAAUGGUGCCGUAACUUCGGGAGAAGGCACGCUGACAC